AACGCUGGCGGCGUGCCUAAUACAUGCAAGUCGAACGGCUUUUCUAUGGAAGCUUGCUUCCACUGAGAAGAUAGUGGCGAACGGGUGAGUAACACGUGGGUAACCUGCCCAUAAGAGGGGGAUAACAUCCGGAAACGGAUGCUAAUACCGCAUAGUUUUCUUGAUCGCAUGAUCGGGAAAGGAAAGACGGCCUUUGUGCUGUCGCUUAUGGAUGGACCCGCGGCGUAUUAGUUAGUUGGUGAGGUAACGGCUCACCAAGACGAUGAUACGUAGCCGACCUGAGAGGGUGAUCGGCCACAUUGGGACUGAGACACGGCCCAAACUCCUACGGGAGGCAGCAGUAGGGAAUCUUCCGCAAUGGACGAAAGUCUGACGGAGCAACGCCGCGUGAGUGAAGAAAGGUUUUCGGAUCGUAAAACUCUGUUGUCAGAGAAGAACAAGUUGGAGAGUAACUGCUCCAGCCUUGACGGUAUCUGACCAGAAAGCCACGGCUAACUACGUGCCAGCCGCCGC
rnacentral:rRNA from 1 species